AUGGCUUUGGAAGGAGACACUGUGACUCUCUCCUGCAACUAUUCAGGCUCUGUCAGAAGCCUCUACUGGUACCAACAGAAGUCCAGUUCAUCUCCACAAUUUCUCAUUGCAGAACAUUCAGAGAAAAUGAAAAGACUGUCUUUCAAACAUGACAAACAAUCAAAGAAGUUUCAUCUGCAGAUCUCCUCUGCUGCAGUGACAGACUCUGCUGUGUACUACUGUGCUCUGGAG